AUUUUUUUUUUAAAAACUUAAAAAAUAUUUUGGGCCCUGGUGGGUCAUGACCCACCAGGCAUAAGGCCAAGUCCGCCAAUGUAUUGGGACGAUGUCCUCUUUCUUCAGAUGAACUUUGUCUUAAUUAUUUAUCCGAGCAUUAACUAUAUUAAUUUAUGUUAAGAGGAUUUAUAUUUACCCCUAUAUCAUGUUUGUCCCCAAAAAAACAUUAUAUAAACACUUUUAAACCGUGGUAACACAAUAUUAGAUAAGUCUAAUAAUGUAGUAAAAAUAUCAUCAAUUAAGUAUACGUACGUGUCCAAAUUAAAGUGAUGCUAUUGAGGAGUAGAUUUUACUAAUAGUUGAUGCGGAAUUGGGCCAUCCCUUUAGUAUAGGACAAUAUCUAAAUUUUCCAAAUAAUAAUUCUAUGAGAUAUGAGAAUGAACAUUAGUGACUAUGUGCACUUGAUUAAUUAAUUACAAAUUAUUAAUAUUAUUAAUAAGCAUUACCACUCAUAUUAACAAUUACUAUUGGGAUAUUAUUGAGAUCUUUGUGAUAUUAUCUUCUGUAAAUUACAUUGUGUGAGAUAUCCUAGCUUAUCAUUAGAAAGUUAGGAUGUAUGGGAAUAUUAGAGUUUGCCAUUAUGCGCCAAAAUGCAGGUGAACUGUGCGAUGACAGGGAUCAAUUUUACGGUCAAAAGAGACCAAUUCAUUGAAAAUGAGUCGUGUAGUCGUUACCAAGCACUUAACCUACGGCCCGAGAUGGAGAAUGGUAAGAAAAAAACUGGCUCUCGGAUCCGCUGUCGUGUUGUGGAAUGGUCGUAGGAUCACACGUCCUUCUUUUGUGAAGCACUUUGAAGAAGUGGUUACGACCCACAACCCAAUAUUCAUCGUUCUAACUGAAGUGGGGGGUACAUACACCAACUGUGAAAGGGUCAUCAACAAGAUUGAGACGACUAUGAAUUGGAGGCUUGAGCCGGGCAAGGGUUUGAUGGGAGGUUGUGCUCUAUUCUGGGAUCCUGCUAGAGUUAGUCCCAAUGUACUUGUCAAUGACUCCAAGUCCCUUGAACUCCGAAUGAUUGCUUCGGUCACUGCUAAGGAGGUCUAAGGGAGUAGGACUGUUGCUAAGUUGAAGGCUGAUUUGGACGGAUUGUUGCUGUUUAAGCUUGUUGGACUACUGCUUUUUAUGAACUAUCUAAUAUGUAUGCGUUAUUAUUAAUGUGUAUUGGGACACGUCGGUUUGUAAUGUAAAAUAUAUGUUAUGUAAUGUUUUAAUUUGGCCCAUGUAAGCCCCCUAAACUCUUCAAUUAUGUAUUAUGUAUUUAUGUAUUAUGUGUUGUGUUGUGGUAUAAACACUGUCAAAAAUCAGUCCAUGAGGGCUAAAAUUACCAAAGUAAAAUUACCAAAGUUGGAUAAAAUGGACCUACUAGAUACUGUAGUAAAAUUCGAAUAAUUGGACCCUUGGACCCUAAAAAAAAAAAA